CCUACGGGUGGCUGCAGUGGGGAAUCUUGCGCAAUGCGCGAAAGCGUGACGCAGCAACGCCGCGUGGGGGAAGACGGCCUUCGGGUUGUAAACCCCUUUCAGUUGGGACGAAGCUUCGACGGUGAAUAGCCGGCCGGAGUGACGGUACCUUCAGAAGAAGCCCCGGCUAACUACGUGCCAGCAGCCGCGGUAAUACGUAGGGGGCAAGCGUUGUCCGGAAUCAUUGGGCGUAAAGCGCGUGUAGGCGGUUCAGUAAGUCUGCUGUGAAAGUCCAG
rnacentral:rRNA from 1 species